rnacentral:rRNA from 1 species
UACAGAGGUCUCGAGCGUUGUUCGGAUUCAUUGGGCGUAAAGGGUGCGUAGGUGGCUUGGUAAGUCGGAUGUGAAAUCCCGGGGCUCAACCCCGGAACUGCAUUCGAUACUGCCAGGCUAGAGUACUGGAGAGGAGAUUGGAAUUUACGGUGUAGCAGUGAAAUGCGUAGAUAUCGUAAGGAAGACCAGUGGCGAAGGCGGAUCUCUGGACAGUUACUGACGCUGAGGCACGAAGGCCAGGGGAGCAAACGGG